AGCAGCCGCGGUAAUUCCAGCUCCAAUAGCGUAUAUUAAAGUUGCUGCAGUUAAAAAGCUCGUAGUUGAAUUUCGGGAUCAAUAUGUUGGUCGUGCCUCGGUACGUACUGGCUUAUUGGUUUCUCCCUUCUGACGAACCAUGAUGUCAUUUAUUUGGUGUUAUGGGGAAUCAGAACUGUUACUUUGAAAAAAUUAGAGUGUUUAAAGCAGGCUCACGCUUGAAUACAUUAGCAUGGAAUAAUGAAAUAGGACGUUUGAUUCUAUUUUGUUGGUUUCUAGGAUCGACGUAAUGAUUAAUAGGGAUAGUUGGGGGCAUUAGUAUUCAAUUGUCAGAGGUGAAAUUCUUGGAUUUAUUGAAGACUAACUACUGCGAAAGCAUUUGCCAAGGAUGUUUUCAUUAAUCAAGAACGAAAGUUAGGGAUCGAAGACGAUCAGAUACCGUCGUAGUCUUAACCAUAAACUAUGCCGACUAGGGAUCGGAUGAUGUUGAUUUUUUAAUGACUCAUUUGGCGCCUUACA
rnacentral:rRNA from 1 species